rnacentral:rRNA from 1 species
CCUACGGGCGGCAGCAGUGGGGAAUAUUGCGCAAUGGGCGAAAGCCUGACGCAGCGACGCCGCGUGAGGGAUGAAGGUCUUCGGAUCGUAAACCUCUGUCAGCAGGGAAGAACGGUCACUGUGCUAAUCAGCAGUGAAUUGACGGUACCUGCAAAGGAAGCACCGGCUAACUCCGUGCCAGCAGCCGCGGUAAUACGGAGGGUGCGAGCGUUAAUCGGAAUUACUGGGCGUAAAGAGUUGCGUAGGUGGCAUAAUAAGUAGCUAGUGAAAUCUGGUGGCUCAACCAUUCAGACUAUUAGCUAAACUGUUAAGCUCGAGACCGUUAGGGGUAACUGGAAUUUCUAGUGUAGGAGUGAAAUCCGUAGAUAUUAGAAAGAACACCGAUAGCGUAGGCAGGUUACUGGGACGGUUCUGACACUAAGGCACGAAAGCGUAGGGAGCAAACGGGAUUAGAUACCCCAGUAGUC